rnacentral:rRNA from 1 species
GGCCGCGGGAAUUCGAUUCAGGCCUAACACAUGCAAGUCGAACGGCAGCAUGAUCUAGCUUGCUAGAUUGAUGAAAAAAAGCGAACGGGUGAGUAAUACAUCGGAACGUGCCCUGUAGUGGGGGAUAACUAGUCGAGAGAUUAGCUAAUACCGCAUACGACCUGAGGGUGAAAGUGGGGGACCGCAAGGCCUCAUGCUAUAGGAGCGGCCGAUGUCUGAUUAGCUAGUUGGUGAGGUAAAGGCUCACCAAGGCGACGAUCAGUAGCUGGUCUGAGAGGACGAUCAGCCACACUUUUUUGAAGACACGGCCCAGACUCCUACGGGAGGCAGCAGUGGGGAAUUUUGGACAAU